UACGUAGGGUCCGAGCGUUAAUCGGAAUUACUGGGCGUAAAGCGUGCGCAGGCGGUCUUGUAAGCCAGAUGUGAAAUCCCCGGGCUUAACCUGGGAACUGCAUUUGUGACUGCACAGCUAGAGUACGGCAGAGGGGGAUGGAAUUCCGCGUGUAGCAGUGAAAUGCGUAGAUAUGCGGAGGAACACCGAUGGCGAAGGCAGUCCCCUGGGCCUGUACUGACGCUCAUGCACGAAAGCGUGGGGAGCAAACAGG
rnacentral:rRNA from 1 species